CAAAGAGGGGGUGUGAGUUAGGUCAUCUCGACCUUCAUAUGGAAAAUGCUUCCUCCUUGUUCACUUUUGGUCAAACUGUUGGUCUGUGACUGGCCCUCUUUGACCCCAACUGAAUUUCUUGGGAAGAUUCAUGAGAAAGAUACGGCAGGUUGUUUUGAUAUAAAGAAAGAGGGAAAAGUAUGUUGUAUCGGUCACAAAAGGAUUGUGAUCUUAAGCAGGCGAGACAAAGAAAUUUUGGAGGUGAUAGGAGAUUGAAUCAGAAAAGUUUUAGAGGCAGAGGUAGAGAAUUUGAUCAAAGGAUCUAACUUUUGUAGAGGUGGUAACUUCAGCACUGUUUUAAUUGUGGAUAGCAGGGAUUCACCCCAAGGUGCUUGUGGUGAACCCGGUUCUCCUGGUCAACCUGGCCCAGCUGGCAUUCAAGGACUCCCAACUUUCAAGCUAUACCCACACCCAACAACCUCAGCCUAAUACACAGAUGGUUCAUGUUUUUAAUACUUUAUAUAUAGUUUUGAUAGAUAAAACAGUAUUAAUGCUGGCUCUUAGAGGAUGUACAAGCUGAAGUUGG